GAUGAAGAACGCAGCGAAAUGCGAUAAGUAAUGUGAAUUGCAGAAUUCAGUGAAUCAUCGAAUCUUUGAACGCACAUUGCGCCCCCUGGUAUUCCGGGGGGCAUGCCUGUCCGAGCGUCAUUACAACCCUCAAGCUCAGCUUGGUGUUGGGCCCCGCCGCCCCGGCGGGCCCUAAAGUCGGUGGCGGUGCCGUCCGGCUCCGAGCGUAGUAAUUCUUCUCGCUCUGGAGGUCCGGUCGUGUGCUCGCCAGCAACCCCCAAUUUUUUUCAGGUUGACCUCGGAUCAGGUAGGGAUACCCGCUGAACUUAAGCAUAUCAAUAAGCGGAGGA
rnacentral:misc_RNA from 1 species